rnacentral:lncRNA from 1 species
UAUGAUCUCAUGCGGUGCAUAAUUUGAUUCCAUGCAGGCAUUCAUUAUCCUUUCAUGCAUUAUAUCAGUGUCCGUGAACUUCAGCACGUUCAUGGUUAUUGGCAAGACCUCACCAGUCACAUAUCAAGUGCUUGGACACCUCAAGACUUGCCUUGUUCUUGCCUUUGGGUAUACUCUGCUGCAUGAUCCUUUCACGAUUAAAAACAUCAUUGGAAUUCUUGUUGCUAUUAUUGGCAUGGGCUUAUAUUCAUAUUUCUGCGUCCAAGACAACAAAAAGAAACAAUCAGU